UUAUUAUUCUAUAGGAGAAGUGAGAGCUGGAACCUGAGAUGUCAGGUAUGUUACCUGAUAUCUCAGGAAUUUUAUCCAAUGACCCAUCAUAACUUUCAUUUUAUUAAAUUUUAUUUCAGGGGCUUCCCUGCUGGCUCAGUGGUAAAGAAUCUUACUGCAAUGCAGGAGACUCCAGAGACACAGAUUUGAUCCCUGGGUCUGGAAGAUCCCCUGGAGAAGGAAAUGGCAACCCACUCCUGUAUUCUUGCCUGGGAAAUCCCAUGGACAGAGGAGCCUAGUGGGCUACAGUCUAUGGAGUUGCAAAAGGGUUGGACACAACUUAGCAACUAAACAAAAACAACAGCAACGAUUUUAUUUUUUAUUUUUUUUUUUUUUUUGUCUCUUCAUGUUUAUGGCCCCACUGUGCUAUGUGGCAUGUGGAAUUUUAGUUCCCUGACCAUGGAUUGAACCUGUGCUUCCUGCGGUGGAAGCUCAAAUUCUUAACCACUGGACCAUCAAGGAAUUUCCAUAACUUUAAAAUUUCAACAAUUUAAGUUAUUUUAUCUAUUUGGAUGGAAAAUAUACUAAAAUGUGAAGUUCAGUGGUAUUUUUCUUAAUUAGUUGAUAGUAGUAAUGGGUCUAGAAUCCAGAAUGUUUGACUGAAAGUCUUUUUCUACUGUACUACACAAUCUCAAGGCACCUAGUCAGCCAUGUCCUAUUGUUGGUUUGCUGGAUGCUCACUGAUGAAAAGCUUUCUACUAUUUAUGGGAAGAAAAGUCCAGCUACUUUCAAAACAAUUUUACCAAAGCAAAUAGCCCAGUUCCCUAUAUAGACAAUGUUCCAUACAUUGUCAAUCAAAAUGUGAAACUUGCAUUGCAUGUUUGAAAACCAUCCUAUAUGAUUUCAAAGACAAGUUAUCAUCCCACUUUUUGCAAGUUUUUAUGUGUACUUUUGUUAGAAAUAUUAUAUAUGCAAGUUGAAAGAACAUUUGGGUGAGAAAAUAAUUAUUUAUAAUUCCAACCUAUCAUUAUUUCUGGCAUUUAGGGAAUUUCUUUCCAGUAUAUUUUUUCUGCACUUAUUUCUAUUCACUUAGUUAUAGUUAUAUGGUUGGUGAUAUUUGGUAGUCCUCUCCACUUAAUAUUCAAGUAUAGAAAUUUAUUUUUAUUAUAUAUUCUUCACAGCCAUUCGUGUUUUGUAGUGGUUCAUUACUUUGAGUAACUAUCCUACAACUCAAACAGUCCAUAUUUUUAAAAUUUAGAUUGUUUCCUCUUUUUAUGCUAUUUUUACGUAUUCCUGCUAUGAACCUCUUCAAGCAUACAUAGUUUUCAUUAUUUAAAGUUGUUUCUUUAGAUCAAAAGGAUGUUUUCAUUCUAAAGACUAUUGAUAUAAGCUGUUGAAUUAUUUUUUAAAAUGGUUUUACCAACCAUUUUACAUAAUACCUACCUACAUAAUACCUACCUACAUAAUAUUUAUUUACCAUAUUUCACCAGUCUUAGGAAUUAUUAUUAAAGUUUUUUUUGCUAGUUGGAAGGUAAAAAAUGGUAACUUGUUUUGAUUUGCAUUUUUAAUUUAUUUUUGUCUUUCCUUACUUUGAUUAUCACUGGACUAUUGAGUUCAAUUAAAUUAAAAGAAAGAUUAAAUACAAGUAAUUAAAAUUUUGUAAUGCACCUAUAUGAUUAAGUAAGCAAAUGGAAACAUAGGAAACUAGCUUAUAUUGGUCAUGGGAGGUCUCUUGGACAAUUGGUAGCUGUAAAUGAAAUGGGGAGAUUUUUGGGGGGAGGAGAAUUAAAAUUGGGCUACUGGCAUCUGAAAUCACUCAAUAUACGUUCAGAAUAUUUCUAGAAUUCUCAGGCUGGUUAACAGGCAUUUAAAGGAGCCUUACCCUCCAAUGUGUAUAUUUGAGCAAUUUUGCUUUUGUAAUAAAAAUU
rnacentral:lncRNA from 1 species